rnacentral:rRNA from 1 species
UACAGAGGUCUCAAGCGUUUGUUCGGAUUCAUUGGGCGUAAAGGGUGCGUAGGCGGCGCGGUAAGUCGGGUGUGAAAUCUCGGAGCUUAACUCCGAAACUGCAUUCGAUACUGCCGUGCUUGAGGACUGGAGAGGAGACUGGAAUUUACGGUGUAGCGGUGAAAUGCGCAGGAUAUCAGGAGGAACACCGGUGGCGAAGGCGGGUCUCUGGGCCGAUGACUGACGCUGGAGGAGCGAAAGCGU